AAGGCGAGUCCAGGUGGAAGUCAGCCAAAGAAGCGUCGUGUUGGCCAACGAAGUGACACCGAUGAUUCAACUGACUCAACCAUUAUUUUGGAUCGCUCCUCAGAUGAAGGUGUCCUCCAGGAUUUAGGACACAAAGAAAGAGAAUUUCACAGUCCAGACACUGGAAGCCAAGCGACCACACCCACCAGGAGUUUGUCGCCGGCUGUCUCUAAUAAGCCUGCAGAUGUCAGUCCUCCAAAAAGGGACAGUCCAGCAAUCAUGGCCAAGCACUACAAGACCCUACAGGCUUUG